GACAGAGGUGCCGAGCGUUAGGCGGAAUCACUGGGCUUAAAGCGUGUGUAGGCGGUCGGGCAAGUACCUUGUGAAAUCCCUAGGCUUAACCUGGGAACUGCAUCUUAUACUGCGUAACUGGAGUACAUGAGAGGGUAGUGGAAUUUCCGGUGUAGCGGUGAAAUGCGUAGAUAUCGGAAGGAACACCAGUGGCGAAGGCGGCUACCUGGCAUGAUACUGACACUGAGGCGCGAGAGCGUGGGGAGCAAACAGG
rnacentral:rRNA from 1 species